GCCAUAUUUUUCAUAUUGAAAUUCACAACCAAACUUUUAUACAAUCACACCUCAAAGUAUUUUACCAUACUAUUCACAAAGGUCUAGUCUCACACUCAACCCCCUAUAAACAGGAUUCACAAAGAGGAUGGGAUCAUAGUCCUCAUACGAGUUGUACUCAGAUCAUCAUCGGGGUUCUCCUCCAGGUACUCCUCUUUAGGUUCUUUCUCCUCAGGCUCCUCAUCAGGGUCCUGAAAUGUUGUCCCACAACCGGGAUGAGACUACGUCUCAGCAAGUUCUACCCCCUAAGAUUCGAUUAGUAAACUAAUAUGCUAUCCGGGCUGCCUAUGCAUGCACGGGUCAGAGGGCUUACCUUGGCCUCAGAUUCCACCUGCAUAUUAACACAGUUCAAUAGGCACCCAAGCAAUCACAUCAUAUAUUAAUAUCUCAAUCAAUCGAACUAGUCGAUUUCAUGUCAAUCCGACCAUUCCCCGGUCAUCUCCCUUAUUCAGUCUCAAAUCUUACUCACGGCUUCACGAGCACAAUUUACCACUUUUCUUAGCAACAAAUUACGGCCUUAUCAGGCACGACCCUUAUCGGGUGGCAAUUUAUAGCCCAAUGGGCGUGACUUUUCAUAGGUGGCAGAUUAUGGCCUUAUCAGGUGCAACUCUUAUUGGGUGGCAAUUUACGGCCCAACAGGCGCAGCCUCUAUGAGGUGGCAAUUUACGGCCCAACGGGCGAUACGUCUAUCAGGUGGCAGGUUACGACCUUAUCAGGCGCGACCCCUAUUGGGUGGCAAUUUACGGCCCAAUGAGCACAACCGACUCCAAAUUUGAUGGAAAAUCUCGGCCCCACUGGCACAGCCAUAUCUUGAUGGCUUUCGAGGUUCUACUCACAACAUUUCACAGUCAAAUUCUAAUUGAAUACCAACACUGAUCAAUUUUGGGAUAAAUCCCCACAUACUUAUCAACUCACUAAAUUUCCAAAAACUAGUGCUCAAAUAAAUAAACAGACUACACCACGACAAUCGGCACAGAAUUUCGGUCGUCGGCUAUCCCAACCUACUUUCCGAAAAAUAAAUAAAUAAAUAAAUAAUUUUGCAAAUUAAUAAUAAAUACUAAAAAUCUAAUUUAGGCCCGUAAUGCCUGAUUGGAGCUCGAAACAGGUCGGGAAAAAUCCCGAGACGCAUUCAAUAAAUAUUAGAAGCUCUCUACUUGCUAAUGACUAAGUCUAACCACUUAACAUGCAUCAUUUAGUCACUAAUUUAAUUGUUGUAAACUAAUUUAACCACCUAAUUGCAUUUAAUUAAAUCUAACCAACCCUUAAGCAUAAUUAACAAACUAAGAAAGCAUUAGUGAGCAAAACUCACUUGAUUAAAAGCGGAGACUGGGUCACCGCGAUAGCGACGCAACGACGGCCGAAAUUGAGCUUUCGACGACAAGCGAGCUUGCACUGGGCCUUAAACUUGGCCCAAUAAAUCUCAGCCCAACUGAGAUUUGUUCUUGCUUUUGGGCUGGACCCAAGUUGGAUUGGGUCUGCUAAAGACAGGCUAGCUUCUUGGGCUCAAGAUGGGCUGGACUAAGCUUGGGCUUCAAAUUGCUGGAUUGAGCUUAGGCCAAUUAACUUACGUGGACUGGACUGGGCUGCAGCUGAAGACCAUGGUUUCAAUGGGCUGGGCUGAGCAAGUUGCUGGCUUGGGCUGCACAUUGAACUGAAGACUGUUGGACCGGAUUUUGCUGGGCUCGAAUGACUGAAAGCGUUGGGCUGAAGACACGCCGCUGGAGUUGGGCCGACUGGAGUGGCCGGCUUCGCUGGCUGAACGGAUGAGGAAAGCAACUUCGAUGGCGUCUUCGAGGGGCGUCGUUGCAGGAGGAUGCCGAAGCAGCGAAGAAACGUGGCACCUCCGAAGAUGAUAGAGCGAACAGGCUGGUUUUACUCUAUGGUCAGUGGAAAGAAUUUGCUGUUGUUGACCGUGAAGUUGCAAGCCGUGGAUGCGUGGAUGCAGAAGGCGGUGGAGUCUUCGUUCGGCGUUGCUUCGCUGGCUUUGGGACCGAAGUUGAAGAUGCGAGGAUCGAAGCUUGAUCGAUGGUCUUCCACGCUAGUUUAUUGACCAGACACGCUGCAGAUGCGGCCAAGUGGCAGCGUGAAGGAACUCAGUGGAGGCGUGCGUUGGAGAGUUGGGGGAAUUAUGUGGGUUUUCGGUGGGAUGGUAGAAUGAACAAAAUUGAAGUAGCUGCUGGCGUGGGAAUUUUGACUCAAACCUGGCAGCUUCGGUGGGAUUUUGGGCAGUUUGCUGGCGUCGUGGGGUCUUCGGUUUUGCCGAGAAUGAACGAAAAUGAAAGUGCAGGGAGAUGAAAUGAAAACGGGGCAGCAAAAUGGGAGCUCGGCUAAAGAAUAAAAUGAAAGAAGAUGAAGCUGCAAGGAAUGGGCAGAGACGUGCGAAGC
rnacentral:lncRNA from 1 species